rnacentral:rRNA from 1 species
AGUGAACGCUGGCGGUAGGCCUAACACAUGCAAGUCGAACGGCAGCACAGGGGAGCUUGCUCUCUGGGUGGCGAGUGGCGGACGGGUGAGGAAUACAUCGGAAUCUACUCUGUCGUGGGGGAUAACGUAGGGAAACUUACGCUAAUACCGCAUACGACCUACGGGUGAAAGCAGGGGAUCUUCGGACCCUGCGCGAUUGAAUGAGCCGAUGUCGGAUUAGCUAGUUGGCGGGGUAAAGGCCCACCAAGGCGACGAUCCGUAGCUGGUCUGAGAGGAUGAUCAGCCACACUGGAACUGAGACACGGUCCAGACUCCUACGGGAGGCAGCAGUGGGGAAUAUUGGACAAUGGGCGCAAGCCUGAUCCAGCCAUACCGCGUGGGUGAAGAAGGCCUUCGGGUUGUAAAGCCCUUUUGUUGGGAAAGAAAUCCAGCUGGCUAAUACCCGGUUGGGAUGACGGUACCCAAAGAAUAAGCACCGGCUAACUUCGUGCCAGCCGCCGCCGUAA